rnacentral:rRNA from 1 species
GACGAACGCUGGCGGCGUGCUUAACACAUGCAAGUCGAACGGUGAAGCGCCUUCCUUUUUGGUGGGUGUGGAUGAGUGGCGAACGGGUGAGUAACACGUGAGUAACCUGCCCCCUUCUUCUGGAUAACCGCAUGAAAGUGUGGCUAAUACGGGAUAUUCUGGGUCUGUCGCAUGAUGGGUCUGGGACAGAUAUUGUUUCGGUGGGGGAUGGGCUCGCGGCCUAUCAGCUUGUUGGUGGGGUGAUGGCCUACCAAGGCGGUGACGGGUAGCCGGCCUGAGAGGGUGGACGGUCCCACUGGGACUGAGACACGGCCCAGACUCCUAGGGGAGGCAGCAGGGGGGAAUAUUGCACAAUGGGCGCAAGCCUGAUGCAGCGACGCCGCGUGAGGGAUGGAGGCCUUCGGGUUGUGAACCUCUUUCGCCAGUGAAGCAGGCCUGCCUCGUUUGUGGGUGGGUUGACGGUAGCUGGAUAAGAAGCGCCGGCUAACUACGUG